UGAACUCUACACCAGUUCUCUCUCUUACUCGUCCUGUUCAUCUCCCCACCAUCUGAACCGCUCCACCACCAAACUUCUCCGAUUGCCGGCGACCGCCAACGAUUACUGGUGAUCACCAUCUAUCGCCAGCGACCACCAUCGAUAAUUGAUGACCACUGAUGCAUUACCCCUCCUCAAUCGAUCGUCCAAUUUCAAUCCGUCAGGUCUCCAAUCUGACAAUCUGUGCUUAGGCACCGAAUCAGAACCUGAAAAAGAAGAAGAAGAAUCACCCAGACACUCAGAUCGUUUUGAGGUUAUUCACAGUCUAAGUUUUGAGGUGCUUCCUGAGGCCAUUGGAAUCGUUCAGCCAAAUUAAGGAUGUGAAUUGACUGAGAUUGAGGACCCG